AUGAAACUUGAGGACCAACUGGUUAAGUGGCGAAUCCCUGAGACCCUGGUAAGUCAUGCUUUGCAGGAAGCAGGGGUGCCUAGAGAGGGCUGCUCUGCUAACUGGCCUGUGGCUCUCCUGCACUGUCUGCAUUCACCAUCCUCCAUCAGCUGGUGCCGGCCUGUCUGUCCCAGUUCUUCACAGGCCACGUGCCACUCCAAGCUCACCAGACUACUGGGGGUUCCACAGACACAAGAUUCCCUGCUCUGGUCUUGCUCCAAACAUUUGUUGAACUCUGAUUCUAGUGGAAGAAGUGAAGGAGGGAAAGACACAAAGAUGGAUCAGAAGACCCUUGACCUUGGGGCACCUGAGAGGCUCAGUGGUUGAGCAUCUGCCUUCAGCUCCCGGGGUGAUCCCAGGGUCCUGGGAUUGAGUCUCCUAUCAGGGUCCCCACAGGGAGCCUGCUUCUCCCUCUGCCUAUGUAUCUGCCUCUCUCUAUGUCUCUCAUGAAUAAAUAAAUAAAAUCUUAAAAAAAAAUGAGGAAGACCCUUGACCUUUAAAAGUCUAAAGCCUAAAAAAGGAGAAAAGAUACAAAUGUAAAUAAAUGUAACCUUUCCCUUUAAUUUCUCCAGAUAAGUAUUGCAAGUGUUUUAGAGCUUAAGAAACACAAAGUCCAUGCAUUUCACUGACCCAAUUAUGUACAUAAAUGUGCAUUUAUAAAAAACCUUUUCAAAGCCAUCUGUUUGAAAAUACUUGAUUUUGCUUUUGAACUUUACCUCCUGGUCUGUCUGAUAAAGCCCUGCUUGCAACUUAUUUCUAAUGUCCUAACAGUGGUCGCUGCUCACAAUGACAUCGGAUCCAAGCUUCCUA
rnacentral:lncRNA from 1 species